GUUUUUAAUAGUGGCUGGCUUGCAGAGUUAUAGUGAGAAGGGUUUGACUUGGAAGUGCAACAUGGGUGGGAAUUCAGCUUCCCAAUGAAGAAAACAGUUGUGUGACUGGGCCUUUCUGACCAUCUGAAAAUGUAUAUAAUUUUAAACCAUUUGAGCUAUUUUUACUGGGAGCUCCCCCAUGGUUGCUUAAUUAAAGAAAAUGACGAGUUAAUCCUGAGAGGAAAUGCACCUUGGAUAUGUGAUCUUCUAAUUUGUACCCAGGGAUGAGGACUGGAACCACACUGGAGCACAACAAGGGUCCUGCAGAAAUACAGAAAACAGCACAAAUUGCACAGGUUUUGGAUUGAGGCUUCUUCAGUGAGUGCUGUGUGUGACUGACAGGUGUAAUUUAAAAGAAGAAAGGAUGCUAUAAAUAUUUUUAAAGACAACAUAGCUCCAUCUCUGAAUAUAGAGGUCUUUCUGCCUCACAAACUCCAUAUAAAGAUGCAUGUCCUUAGGAGACAGUAAGUAAAGUAGUAGUGAAGCUUUUAUCUCUCCAAACCAUUAAACACAAUGACAAAAAUAAGGGUUGGUCACAUAAUACCGUACAAAUGGAAAAUGGAAGAGCACUUGAAAUGAUGCUGUAUGAUAUAUACCCCCUGUAUGCUGAAACUAUGACGUUAAAUUUACCACUUUUUUGAUUGUUAAUUUAAUCAAUCAGAUGUAAUCAGUUUAAUUAUCAGGGAUUCCUGAAAUGUUUUGGUGUUUUUUGUUGAUAGAUGUGAUG
rnacentral:lncRNA from 1 species